AAGGUACUAGUAAAAUGAUCAUUACACCACCUUGUCAAGGUGGAAUUGUAGGUUAAACCCCUGCGUACCUUA
rnacentral:tRNA from 1 species